AAAAAAAUUGACAACCUUCUCAAUGUUCUUAUAUUUGUGAAAUUCACUUUUCAAAGGACAUGUGGGAAAAGCCUAGAGUUGAUG